rnacentral:tRNA from 1 species
GGCCGUGUACCCGAGUGGCUCAGGGACUUGUCUGCAAAACAAGUUACGCGGGUUCGAAUCCCGUCACGGCCUCCA